GCAAAAUGCAGACCUUUGUGACGUGUUUCUUGAAAACGCUCAUAUAAUAACCUUAUUCAGACCACCAUUUCAAGCUGCAAUCUGAAUGUCCCUGAGUAACAGAGGCGUUACAGAAGUGAGACGGGGAUCUGCUCAGCGCUGUGUGUGUGCAUUGUCUGACUGUGUGUGUGUGUCUCUCGCUGCGCUACAACGCUUAAAGGAUGCAUGAUGUGAUGACGGCUCAGCUUAGUUACAGCAUUUCUGCGAUAAAAAACAGUGUGAAAGAACUACUGUGAUAAAGAUAAAAAAAGUUAUUUACUGUGCAGCCCUACAUCAAUCUUUGCAGCAGGUUUUAUACAGCACAGUUAAAAAAAAGAAGAGCAACAUGUUUCAGGCAAAUAAAGAUUCUUUACUUAAAA